CCCAGGGCGUUGCCCUGGGCUUUGAUAGGUCGCCCCUUUGGGGCU
rnacentral:sRNA from 1 species